GAUGAAGAACGCAGCGAAAUGCGAUAAGUAAUGUGAAUUGCAGAAUUCAGUGAAUCAUCGAAUCUUUGAAUGCACAUUGCGCCCGCCAGUAUUCUGGCGGGCAUGCCUGUCUGAGCGUCAUUUCAACCCUCAUGCCCCUAGGGCGUGGUGUUGGGGAUCGGCCAAAGCCCGCGAGGGACGGCCGGCCCCUAAAUCUAGUGGCGGACCCGUCGUGGCCUCCUCUGCGAAGUAGUGAUAUUCCGCAUCGGAGAGCGAUGAGCCCCUGCCGUUAAACCCCCAACUUUCCAAGGUUGACCUCAGAUCAGGUAGGAAUACCCGCUGAACUUAAGCAUAUCAAUAAGCGGAGGA
rnacentral:misc_RNA from 1 species